GCGGGCGUGGCGGAAUUGGUAUACGCGCCAGGUUUAGGUCCUGGUGGGCGAAAGCCCGUGGGGGUUCAAGUCCCUCCGCCCGCA
rnacentral:tRNA from 1 species